CUGCGCGCGGGAGGGCGAGAGUCGUGAUCGUGCGCGCGUGACUUGGCGACCGCGACCGAAGUGCGUGGAAGGUGUGACCGGGAAGAGGCGGCGGGUACGUGUGUGAAUAGAGAGUGUAUGUGCAGGUGUGACAUGUGACUAGCGCGCCGCGGAGGAGGCUGCUGUGUGACUGGGGCGCGUGUUUCUGCGCGGGCCUCUUGUGCACUUUGCCCGUCCCAGCAGCGUGUACUGGAACGAAUGAAGGAUUUUACGUGGCUGAGAGCUGGAAACGCCCCCGGAGGAGACCAUCCCACUCCAGUCCAGCACGCCCGACUCUCCCACCGAAAGUUCGGUGUGGCCCAAAGCCUUGGAAUCUUGGGAAGGUGCCCGGUCGGGGCACCUUCUUGCCUGAAGCCUUUCUUGCCUGCCCGCCUGGAGGAUGUGGAAAUCGGGACACCAUACAUGUCCACGGGCCUGAGUAUGGAGCUCUGCCCUCUCGGGGUAAAGCCCUUCUCCACAUGAGGAGCCAGGAUGAAGAGGUGAUGGGAAUUGAACUUCUUAAAGCCAUGUCCCUGGAUGCAGUGACUUUCACGGAUGUAGCCGUCAACUUCUCCCAAGAUGAGUGGGAAUGGCUGACUCUUGCUCAAAGGACUCUGUACAAGAAAGUGAUGUUAGAGAACUACAGCAACCUGGCUUCACUGGGUCUUUGCGUUUCUAAACCAGAUGUGAUCUCCUUGCUGGAGCGAGAUAAAGAACCCUGGACGGCGAAAGGAGAGUUGACAGGAGGCCCGUGCGCAG